rnacentral:tRNA from 1 species
GAACGAUUGGCGCAGUGGUAGCGUACCUGAUUCCAGUCCAGGCGGUCACCCGUUCGAUCCGGGUAUCGUUCA